GUCCGUUGGGAUUUUUGUGUAUUAACAAAACAGGAGAAAACGGUAGAUAAGUAGAAAAAAUAACCAUAGCUUUCGCAUUACUUUUCAGUGAAAGUGAAAUAAUUCAAGGCUUUCUCCUUAUGUUAAGGUGGACGUAUAGCGUCGUUGUUAUGGUAACCACAACACACCAGGAAAGUGAAAAGUCGGUGAUUGGGUUUUGCUGAGAUUGGCUGUGAAAUUAUUUAAAAAAAAAAUUUUUUUUAAAGGCCUGCGAAGACUCCAGAGAUAUAACAAUAAGGAAACUGUUUCCUUGUUUAUCUAACAAACACCAAAAAACCGGACACAGCAAGUAAACUGGCUAAUAAUGAAUCCAUCCCAGGAGGAGACAGAAUGCAGGCCUCAGAGUGCAGAAGUUGAAGUGGAAGAGCAAGAUGAGGAUAAGGGAAUGGAGGAGGACACCCCUCUAGUGGCCGUUGCACCCGAUGCUUCACUCCCAGAAAAGCAGCCCUCAGCCUCCAUUGUGGUCUCUGCUGGUCCUGCCUCCCAGUGUUUAGAUGAGGUAACAAUCAUGUGCAUUGUUAUGUUGUUAUUUUGUGAAUGGCAUUUUUAAAUUGUUUUCAGAAAGACAAACAUCCCUAUUUGAUAGUUAUAGUGGCAGAUUUAACUGCCAUGACUCAAAAGAAAAGAAAAUAGUAUCAGAUAUGAUAUAGAUGCAUGUAUUUGCACAAGGCUAAUGUUCAGGACUAUUAUUUCCUCCAUUCUUUUGCAGUUUAAUUUCUGAUAACAAAGUAUUGCACAUGCAUAAUGUGCGUUAAAGUGUUUGUCAUAAACAUUAAGUGUGAAAAAAAGUGAAUAUUUAGGAGUCAUCCUGUGAAUGAGCACAACACUUUUAUUAACUUUAUCAUCACAGACAGUAAACAGACAGUAAAGUCACAGUCCCACAGUUUUAUCAUCUUCUGCGAAGCCAAUAUGAAAUCUGCCUUUUAUUUAGUGGCUUUAUUGGUUCAACACCUCAUAAACCCAUUUGUUAUGGGCAUGCAGCACCUCAUCCUGCAUUUUUACAAGCCUCAUUCAGCCUCGGACACUAGACGGCAGACACUUUCAAAGACACUCAUGCGAAACUUGUAUACAUUUUUUGUAUACAUUCGUUUGAAAGGCGAUUCCAGUACACAAGUGGAGCAGGCAUGAAAAGGAUUUUAAACCGACCGAACAUUGAAAUGUGCAACACAGCCAUGGAAUAUUAAUUUAAUUUUUUUCCCCCAAUAUAAAAAUUGCAUAUCUAUUGGCACAACAGCUGAAUAUGAUUGAUAGAAAAGAUCAAUCUGAUACACACAAAGAAUUCCAAUUUUACGCAGAUAUUUACUAUGAAUGAUCACAAUUAUGCCUAGUCCUUGUCAUUACUCAAAUGUCAUCAAUCAUUAGACUCUGUACUGCAUGACCAUUGUAUCAUAUAAAAGCUAUCAUACCUCUCAAAGUAAAAUAAAUACUGUACACAUCCUCAUAGUGAAGCAUUUCUUUCCCCAAUCCUUCCCAUUUACAGUGUGUAUAAAAUGAAAUAAAUGGUGCUAUACAGUUUCCUAACAUUAGAUAGCAGUAUUGUACAAGAAGAGGAUUUUACAGAUUAUGGCAUAGAGAAGUGUGCAGUAAUUCGGUGCAUCCAAAGCUUGGAAACACAUUUUUUUUUCCUCACUGCAAUGUCCUGCUUCGUGGCUGCUCUCAAGAAGACUCUAGUUAAACAUCAAUAAUGCAGAAUGCACACACAUACAUGACUCAAUAGAAAUUUAUUGGAUGCUGCGUAUUUAUACUGGGAUGUCUUCUGUGGUAUGGGGUAAUGAUAAAUCGGCAAGCUGCCCGAGAGCAGUGAGAUAAAUGCCAGAGAAGGGCCAAGUAAAGCUAUACAUUUAUUACUGACUGUAAUUUUUCUAACAGUUUGACUCUCCAGCUUGAAGUCUUUCGUAAUGAUUAUCGGACCCACUCAAAACUGUAUCAUCAGCUCUCGUAUACCUCACUUGGGUGGCUGCUGUUAAUUACAAAAUCAUUUACAGCAGAGAAAGUGAUAGCUCAUUAGUUUUUACUACUAGUAUGUGCUGUGCUGUGUUUCUAUGCUGGGUUUAUGGCAGGAGGCAGCAGGACAGAAUGAGAAAAAAAAUGUCAAAGACCAGUGAAAAAAUCUCUUCUGGUAACCCUCAAUUUAAUGUUAUGGCCCACGUAGGAGGCUGGCCUACACUGCAUGGGUUGUUUUUUUU